GACAGAGGUGCCAAGCGUUAGGCGGAAUCACUGGGCUUAAAGCGUGUGUAGGCGGAUGUCUAAGUACCUUGUGAAAUCCCACGGCUCAACCGUGGAACUGCUUGGUAUACGGGAUGUCUUGAGCCAUCUAGGGGCUACCGGAACAAAUGGUGGAGCGGUGAAAUGCGUAGAUAUCAUUUGGAACGCCAAUGGUGAAAACAGGUAGCUGGGGAUGUGCUGACGCUGAGACACGAAAGCCAGGGGAGCAAACGGG
rnacentral:rRNA from 1 species